UAGCUUGCUAGAACUUAGAGACAGGUGCUGCACGGCUGUCGUCAGCUCGUGUCGUGAGAUGUUGGGUUAAGUCCCGCAACGAGCGCAACCCACGUAUUUAGUUGCUAACGGUUCGGCCGAGCACUCUAAAUAGACUGCCUUCGUAAGGAGGAGGAAGGUGUGGACGACGUCAAGUCAUCAUGGCCCUUAUGCCCAGGGCGACACACGUGCUACAAUGGCAUAUACAAUGAGACGCAAUACCGCGAGGUGGAGCAAAUCUAUAAAAUAUGUCCCAGUUCGGAUUGUUCUCUGCAACUCGAGAGCAUGAAGCCGGAAUCGCUAGUAAUCGUAGAUCAGCCAUGCUACGGUGAAUACGUUCCCGGGUCUUGUACUCACCGCCCGUCACACCAUGGGAGUUGAUUUCACUCGAAGCCGGAAUACUAAACUAGUUACCGUCCACAGUGGAAUCAGCGACUGGGGUGAAGUCGUAACAAGGUAACCGUAGGAGAACCUGCGGUUGGAUCACCUCCUUUCUAG
rnacentral:rRNA from 1 species